rnacentral:rRNA from 1 species
CCUGCGGAAGGAUCAUUACCUAGAGUUGCGGGCUUUGCCUGCCAUCUCUUACCCAUGUCUUUUGAGUACCUUCGUUUCCUCGGCGGGUCCGCCCGCCGGUUGGACAACACUUAAACCCUUUGUAGUUGCAAUCAGCGUCUGAAUAAACUUAAUAGUUACAACUUUCAACAACGGAUCUCUUGGUUCUGGCAUCGAUGAAGAACGCAGCGAAAUGCGAUAAGUAGUGUGAAUUGCAGAAUUCAGUGAAUCAUCGAAUCUUUGAACGCACAUUGCGCCCCUUGGUAUUCCAUGGGGCAUGCCUGUUCGAGCGUCAUUUGUACCUUCAAGCCUUGCUUGGUGUUGGGUGUUUGUCUCGCCUCUGCGCGCAGACUCGCCUCAAAACAAUUGGCAGCCGGCGUAUUGAUUUCGGAGCGCAGUACAUCUCGCGCUUUGCACUCAUAACGACGACGUCCAAAAAGUACAUUUUUACACUCUUGACCUCGGAUCAGGUAGGGAUACCCGCUGAACUUAAGCAUAU